GCCCAGGUGAUGGAAUGGCAGACAUGGUAGACUCAAAAUCUACUGAAGAAAUUCGUGCUGGUUCGAGUCCAGUCCUGGGUA
rnacentral:tRNA from 2 species